UUGUGUGAAGAAUUUUUGAAUUUCAAUGAGCGAGAAUUUUGGAGGGAAAAGAAAAUUCUAGAUCUAGAUUUGUGAUUAUGAGAAAAUUCUGUUAUGAUUUGUUAUUUAUAUGGUAUGCUAAUCACAAUGCUAAUCCCCAUUAAGCUUGAUUAAUUAAAAUUAGUGAAAUAUGGAAUGAAAUGCAAAAAAUGAAUAAUGAGGUUGCAUGGCAAAUUCCUACGUGAAUAGUAGCAUGCAAAUGCUUGGAUUCACUUAAAAUCAGCCAAAAAACACAAUGCAAGUGGUAUUUUACUCAUGUGAUUCACAAAAUUUGAAUUCCCCAUUUUCCCUCCAAAAUGCACUUGAAUGGAC
rnacentral:lncRNA from 1 species